GAAAUUGCUUCUAAGAUGCUGAGAUUUUGCACAACAAAUAAACCAAAAAUUUCCUUGGCAACUCUUGCAUAUCUGCUAUUCCACAGAGCUCUCUCCCCAAGUUCCAGAACCAAGCAAGGAGUCACUGGAUGUCUUUCCCUUUGACCUCAGGCUAUAACUUCGCUGUGACAAUAACAUCGAGAGCUGUGCACAUCUGGGAUGCUGUUCUCAUGGAUUAUGAAAUCAGCAACUCACUGAACCUCAAGGGGUCUCAGUUUCCCCAAUGACAAGAUCAUGCUAAUGGCACCAGCCACCUGCCAGGUUAUCAGGGGACUUGAUAACAAUGUCUGCGAAUUACAAAGAGAACCCGUGCCAUAAAUAACAAGUCUUAUUAAUAAAACUAGUUCAAGACGAGUGCCAAAAACAAUAUAGCAAUAGCAGCGGCAGAUCACACUUGGUCAGAACAAAAGAGGGUGGAGAGAUUUUCUGAUCCUUAUUCCUACUAAAACAAUUCCCCUUUAAUGAAAGAAUAAGAAUUUAAUUUUUUCUCCCUAAAACAUUACUUCUACCCACACAACUUUAUACACCAGUCAUUACUUCUUUCUAACUUAUCUGGAGGCAACAUUGUAUUCACUGGCUGGACAAUAUAGCGUUGAUUUCAAAGCAUGUCCAAAUAUUGCCUCCAAUUAAAUUAAUUGCAGCUAUUUAACUUCUCAGGACCAAGUGGAUUCAAACCUAUUUGUCACACGACCCUCAUUCCUGCUGUGCCCUAAAUAAACCCAAACUUCCUUUGCAACAGAAUGGAUCUAACAGAAGACAGUGUACAAACUGGAUCAUCUCCUAACCUUCUAGGUUGCAAGAGACAAGUAACACUUUGAGAACAAAACCAGAUUUCUGUUGAUUUGAGGCCUUUCAUCACUAUCUGUGAGGAGGAUUCGAACUGAAAGAAGCCAGAAACAGCAGUAGCAGCGUCUCCACUGGGAUGCUCCAUUCAUAGGGGAGCCAGAGCCGCAUCCAUUCAUGGUGGGGUCAGGGAGUCCUUUGCGGGCAUUGGUUCUCGUGAAGCCGCCGCCAGAGCUAUUAUUAGCACAGCCAUCCCUUGGAAAUUUCGCAGAAUAGUUGGGAGCUAAAUUCUAAGAUAUGUGUCUUAGAAUUAAACAUUAUAGGCCUUAGAUUAUAGGUACAGUGGCUCAAGCCUGUAAUCCCAGCACUUUGGGAUGCCAAGCAGGAUGGAUCACCUGAGGCCAGGAGUUCAAGACCAGCCUGGUCAACAUGGUGAAACCCCCGUCUCUGCUAAAAAUACAAAAAAUUAGCCGGGUGUGGUUGCAGCUGCCUGUGAUCCCAGCUACUCGGAAGGCUGAGGCAGGAGAAUUGCUUGAACCUGGGAGGCGGAGGCUGCAGUGGAGUUAGAACUAAAAUUAUAUUUUACAUCAGAAGGUAGUCUGUAGAGAAAAAGAGAAAAUGCACCUGAGUUGUCUAAGUGUGUUCUUACAAAGGAAAUUCUUUUGGAAAUGGUUAUAACCUAAACUAUGAUCAGCUAAUAAUAACAGUAAUAAUAAUAAUAUCUAUUAUCUGUUGGGCGGUGAUGUGCAUAUUAUGUGCAUUAUCUAUAAUCUGCAGCAA
rnacentral:lncRNA from 1 species